AUUGAACGCUGGCGGCAGGCCUAACACAUGCAAGUCGCACGAGUGGCGGACGGGUGAGUAAUGUCUGGGAAACUGCCUGAUGGAGGGGGAUAACUACUGGAAACGGUAGCUAAUACCGCAUACCAUCGGAUGUGCCCAGAUGGGAUUAGCUAGUUGGUGGGGUAAAGGCUCACCUAGGCGACGAUCCCUAGCUGGUCUGAGAGGAUGACCAGCCAUACUGUAACGGAGACACGGUCCAGGCUCCGACGGGAGGGAGCAGUGGGGAAUAUUGCACAAGGGGCGCAAGCCGGAUGCAGCCAGGCCGCGUGUAUGAAGAAGGCCUUCGGGUUGUAAAGGACUUUCAGCGGGGAGGCGUUACCCGCAGAGGAAGCACCGGCUAACUCCGUGGCAGCAGCCGCGGUAAUAC
rnacentral:rRNA from 1 species